rnacentral:rRNA from 1 species
CCUACGGGAGGCAGCAGUGAGGAAUAUUGGUCAAUGGGCGGGAGCCUGAACCAGCCAAGCCGCGUGAGGGAAGAAGGUACAGCGUAUCGUAAACCUCUUUUGUCAGGGAACAAAGGCGGGGACUAGUCCCCGGAUGAGGGUACCUGAAGAAAAAGCAUCGGCUAACUCCGUGCCAGCAGCCGCGGUAAUACGGGGGAUGCGAGCGUUAUCCGGAUUGAUUGGGAUAAAAGGGUGCGCAGGCGGCCUGUUAAGUCAGGGGUAAAAGCCAGGGGCUCAACCCCGGCGAGCCGUUGAAACUGGCGGGCUGGAGUUGGAGAGAGGUACGCGGAAUGCGUGGUGUAGCGGUGAAAUGCUUAGAUAUCGCGCAGAACCCCGAUUGCGAAGGCAGCGUACCGGCUCCACACUGACGCUGAGGCACGAAAGCGUGGGUAUCGAACAGGAUUAGAUACCCCAGUAGUC